UUUGGGCUUGACGGCUUGAAACCAUUUAGGGCUGUAGACGUCGACGACAUUCACCUUCCUCUUACGUUCGUCUUCUCCGAUCGAAAGACAAAGAAACUGAGCCACUCUCAUCAAUCAAUACGGUUCUUUACUACCAUGAAUUCAUUCAUAAUGACUUCGUUUCGCCUCCCUCUUCUCCUCCUUCUUUAUAUACAGAUCCUCUUUCGUUUUAACAAACCAAAACCCUAGAUCUCCUCCAACCUCAAUCGAUGGCGAUGAAACCAAAUGAGAAGUCCCCUGUCUCCUCCGCUUCUGAUGAAAAGGUCAUAUUCUUCAGAGAUGUCUCACUAAAUCCCCCACGAAACCCAGUUGCGCUUCCGUCAGAGUAUCAAAGAAGAAGCGACAAGAACGACAAGAACGAGAAGCUCAAAGACAGAGGGAAAAAAUGAACAGUGUUUUGGCAAGAAACUUAGAGUUCUCGCAGCUGAUCAUGCAGCAGAAGGGAUUUCUAGAAAAUUAUCUAUGGAGGUAGUAUAUCAAUCACACUUUAUGAUAUUAUAUGUGCUUUCAUACGAACAGUCAUCUGUGUUAUAGGUAUCGGUGCUAAAACAAGAAAAAGAGGUGUUAUCAAAUGCUGAGAAAAGAGCCUCUGACGAAGUUUUUGUUUUAUCUCAGAGAGUUUAUCGUCUUCAGGCUAUCUUGGAUACUCUCCAGAGUACAGAGGAAGCUCGUGAGGAAGCAAGAGCUGCCGAGAGAAGGAAACAAGAGGAGCAUAUCAAGCAACUUGAGAGAAUGGGCUGAAGCUAAAGAAAUUGGAAGAAGAAGCAUCAUUUUGGAAGUGAAGAGUGCGACCAAUGCUUCUGAACAGACCUUUAUUAAAGCCCAAAAGGUCAACGGAAGCCAAAGCAUGAGAAAAUCUCAGGUGGUAAGAAUGUUCCAUUGGUUCAUAUCAAAUAGAACACAGGUGCAGAUGCUAAAUUGUCACCUUCAAAUGGUGAUACCAUAGCAGCCCAGGUCAUGGAGAAUAUUAAACAAGACCCUGCACGAGCUGAUAGUGCCGCCGGCUACUCAGUCCUUUCCUUUUGAAAUCUGAGUUUCUUUUUGUAUUAUCUUGAAGACUUAAGUUUAUCCAUCUAGAGAUAAUGGUGCUAAGUGUUACUAUUAAUCUUUUA